rnacentral:rRNA from 1 species
GGUGAACGCUAGCGGCAGGCCUAACACAUGCAAGUCGAGGGGUAACUAGAGUGUUAGCAAUAUUACUUUGGCUAGACCGGCGCACGGGUGCGUAACACGUAUGCAACCUACCUUAUACUGGGGAAUAACUUCGAGAAAUCGGCGCUAAUACCCCAUAACAUUGCGAAGAGGCAUCUCUUUGCAAUUAAAGCUCUGGCGGUAUAAGAUGGGCAUGCGUCCAAUUAGCUAGUUGGUGAGGUAACGGCUCACCAAGGCUACGAUUGGUAGGGGUUCGGAGAGGAUGAUCCCCCACACUGGUGCUGAGGCACGGACCAGACUCCUACGGGAGGCAGCAGUGAGGAAUAUUGCGCGAUGGACGAAAGUCUGACGCAGCCAUGCCGCGUGCAGGAUGACGGCCCUAUGGGUUGUAUACUGCUUUUGUACGGGAAUAAACCCUUCUACGUGUAGGAGGCUGAAGGUACCGUAAGAAUAAGCACCGGCUAACUCCGUGCCAGCAGCCGCCGUAAGAC